GUGCUCGCUUCGGCAGCACAUAUACUAAAAUUGGAACAAUACAGAGAAGAUUAGCAUGGCCCAUGCACAAGGAUGACAUGCAAAUUUGUGAAGUGUUCCAUAUUUCA
rnacentral:snRNA from 1 species